CUUAAUAAAAUAUGCUUCAGUUUUCCCAGAUCUCCAAACCCUCAUGCUCUUUCUCAAAGUCUCAACAUCUCAAAACCUCACUUCACCGACCAAACUAUCAGAUUUGAACAUCCACCCUUAACCUUUCCAAAAGCUGCCAAAAUGUCGUUUGUUUCUUCGUCAAGAAGAAUGCAUUGGACUCUAUGUUUGCUUGGUUAUCUUGUCAAGAAUUGAAACUUCAUAUCUUCUAUUUAUCUUUACCAAUAUGAAGAUGAAGAGAAGGAGGGUGCUUGAAGUGGCUCAACAAGAGAAGGGAAAGGAAAUAAAGGACAAAUACUUCUAGAUAUUAUGAAUGGCUAUGGAUAAUGGAGGACAACUCAAAGUUGCUAGAUUUGUAAAAUGUCACAGGACAAAGCAAAACUAACUCAAUCAGUUGUUAGUGACUAUUCAAGUAAGUCGUCAUUUAAUGAUCAAGAUAGACUGCCCUUCUGAUUAGAAACCAUUCAGGAAAUGCCCCUUCAUGUCUUUUAUACAAAUUCAUAGCAUUUUGAGCAUGUCGACGUAUUGUCUCAAAUUUUUUCUAACAGGGAUGAGGAUGAGUUUACUUUUUGUAAGAACAAUGCAUAACAAAUAUUUAAGAAUUACGAAGAUGAGGAAUGCUUACUUGUGAUACUCUGAUAUUUCGUCUACAUUGUUCAGUAUGUACCAAUGGAAUAGUCGUUUCUCUUUCUGUGAUA